UACAGAGGAGCCAAGCGUUGUCCGGAUUGACUGGGCGUAAAGCGCACGCAGGCGGAUGCGCGCGUGGGGUGUGAAAUCUGGCCGCUUAACGGCCAGGCGCCAUCCCAUACGGCGCGUCUGGAGUGAUGCAGAGGUCGGUGGAAUUCCCGGUGUAGCGGUGAAAUGCGUAGAGAUCGGGAAGAACAUCGGUGGCGAAAGCGCUCUACUGGACCGCAACUGACACUCAGGGACGAAAGCUAGGGGAGCGAAUGGG
rnacentral:rRNA from 1 species